CGAACGCUGGCGGCAGGCCUAACACAUGCAAGUCGAGCGCGCCCUUCGGGGUGAGCGGCGGACGGGUUAGUAACGCGUGGGAACGUACCCUUUGGUAGGGAAUAGCCACUGGAAACGGUGAGUAAUACCCUAUGAGCCCUUCGGGGGAAAGAUUUAUCGCCAAAGGAUCGGCCCGCGUUAGAUUAGGUAGUUGGUGGGGUAAUGGCCUACCAAGCCUACGAUCUAUAGCUGGUUUUAGAGGAUGAUCAGCAACACUGGGACUGAGACACGGCCCAGACUCCUACGGGAGGCAGCAGUGGGGAAUCUUGGACAAUGGGGGCAACCCUGAAUCCAGCCAUGCCGCGUGAGUGAAGAAGGCCUUAGGGUCGUAAAGCUCUUUCGCCUGUGAAGAUAAUGACGGUAGCAGGUAAAGAAACCCCGGCUAACUCCGUGCCAGCCGCGGC
rnacentral:rRNA from 1 species